UACGUAGGGUGCAAGCGUUAAUCGGAAUUACUGGGCGUAAAGCGUGCGCAGGCGGUUAUGCAAGACAGGUGUGAAAUCCCCGGGCUCAACCUGGGAACUGCAUUUGUGACUGCAUAGCUAGAGUACGGUAGAGGGGGAUGGAAUUCCGCGUGUAGCAGUGAAAUGCGUAGAUAUGCGGAGGAACACCGAUGGCGAAGGCAAUCCCCUGGACCUGUACUGACGCUCAUGCACGAAAGCGUGGGGAGCAAACAGG
rnacentral:rRNA from 1 species